rnacentral:rRNA from 1 species
CCUACGGGAGGCAGCAGUGGGGAAUAUUGGACAAUGGGCGAAAGCCUGAUCCAGCCAUGCCGCGUGUGUGAAGAAGGCCUUCGGGUUGUAAAGCACUUUCAGUGGGGAAGAAAGCCUUGGGGCUAAUACCCUCGAGGAAGGACAUCACCCACAGAAGAAGCACCGGCUAACUCCGUGCCAGCAGCCGCGGUAAUACGGAGGGUGCGAGCGUUAAUCGGAAUUACUGGGCGUGAAGCGCGCGUAGGCGGUCUGAUAAGCCGGUUGUGAAAGCCCCGGGCUCAACCUGGGAACGGCAUCCGGAACUGUCAGGCUAGAGUGCAGGAGAGGAAGGUAGAAUUCCCGGUGUAGCGGUGAAAUGCGUAGAGAUCGGGAGGAAUACCAGUGGCGAAGGCGGCCUUCUGGACUGACACUGACGCUGAGGUGCGAAAGCGUGGGUAGCAAACAGGAUUAGAUACCCCAGUAGUC